rnacentral:circRNA from 1 species
GAAUCUUCCUCUUCAGUGAAUACAUCCAACAAGAUGAAUUUUAAAACUUUUUCUUCAUCACCUCCUAAGCCUGGAGAUAUCUUUGAGGUUGAACUGGCUAAAAAUGAUAACAGCUUGGGGAUAAGUGUCACGGGAGGUGUGAAUACGAGUGUCAGACAUGGUGGCAUUUAUGUGAAAGCUGUUAUUCCCCAGGGAGCAGCAGAGUCUGAUGGUAGAAUUCACAAAGGUGAUCGCGUCCUAGCUGUCAAUGGAGUUAGUCUAGAAGGAGCCACCCAUAAGCAAGCUGUGGAAACACUGAGAAAUACAGGACAGGUGGUUCAUCUGUUAUUAGAAAAGGGACAAUCUCCAACAUCUAAAGAACAUGUCCCGGUAACCCCACAGUGUACCCUUUCAGAUCAGAAUGCCCAAGGUCAAGGCCCAGAAAAAGUGAAGAAAACAACUCAGGUCAAAGACUACAGCUUUGUCACUGAAG